rnacentral:lncRNA from 1 species
UAGCAUCCAAAGCCCAGGAGAACGGAUCCUCUCUUUCAGUCCGGGAGGGCCAGUCCCUGCGCCUGGUCUGCGCCGUCGACAGCAACCCCCCCGCCAGGAUCAGCUGGGCCCGGGGCAGCCUCACCCUGAGCGCCUCGACGCCCGGCCACCCGGAAGUGCUGGAGCUGCCGCGGGUGCUCACGGGAGACGAAGGGGAGUUCACCUGCCGCGCCCAGCACGCCCUGGGCUCCCGGCACGUCUCCCUGAGGGUCUCGCUGCAGAGGCGGUCAGCGCGCCCGGCAGACGCGGCCCUGGUGGCCAUCUGGGAAGCUGCUGUCAAGACCCUGCUCCUCCUCCUCUGUCUCCUGGGCCUCCUAGUGUGGUGCUGCACAAGGACGUCAGCCGGGCCGGCAGGGGGCGCGUCAGAAGCAAAGGAAAUCCCCCUUUAACCCCUCAGCUCAUCUUGAAGCCUGUCUCCUCCCCGUCCUGACCCUGGUCCUUCCAACAGCCUCAUCUCUUCCCUGAGUCACUGAACCCAUGCAUCUCCUGCUUCCUCUCGCUGGGAAACACAGCCCUCGGGUCAGAGAACUCACCAGAGAUGGUUUCCAUCCACUUCCCGUACAGUAGGAGCAGCUCUGUUUCCUCCCCACGCAGGGGAUGGAGGGGCCCACACCACAGGCCAGAUUCGAAGUCCUCACAGGCUCACCCCUGCUGACUCUCCACCCAGAGUUUCUGUUUCGGAUGAUGAAAGCAUUCUGGAAAUAUACAAUGGUGAUGGUUGCACUGGAGGAGGAAAUGGCAACCCACUCCAGUAUUCUUGCCUGGAGAAUCCUAUAGACAGAGGAGCCUGGUGGGCUGCCGUCUAUGGGGUCACACACAGUCGGACACGACUGAGCGACUUAGCAGCAACAGCAGCAUGGUUACACUUAGAUGGUAAUGUACUUACUGACACUCAGGUGUAACAUGU